CCGGGCUCCGAACGUCUAGAAGCCCGGGAGACUUCUGGAGCUGUGAGGGCUGGGAUGUGGCGGGACUCGGCGGCUCCGCGAAGGCUGGGCGUGUAGCCGUGCCUGAAACACUUCCCCUGCGCGGAAGGAACUGUCUGAUGGAAGACACGGACGAGUAGCCUGGCAGUUACAGCCGCGUGGGAGUGCUGCAGUGGGGGAAGCCCUCGGCACUGUGAAGCCCAGAGGAGGUCCCCCAGCUCAAAAGGGCGGGGAGGAGGCUCCCGAGAUGGAAGAAAGCUGGACGCACCCCGAGAACCGAAAAUAGUCGGGUCUAAUUGCAGCGAUGGGGCAGGUGUUGGAGACAGACCUGGGCUGAAAUCAGUUUGUAAAAUGAGACCUGGAAGCACACAGAAGAAGUAGGCUGACCCUUGGGAUUGCACCACUUGAGCAGUGUACUGGAAAUUCUCCGCUAGAAACCUGGACAUCCAUCUGUGGGGGAUUGUCUAAGAGGCUUCCAUAUCAUGGCCAAGGAGGGCUGGAGCCAGUUCACGGACACUUGCAGGGUUCACGGCUGGGACUGAGAUUCCUAAAUCAUGUAUGCAUGGAACAAAGCCUCAAGAAACCCAGAAAAAAGAAGGAAGCUAAGGAACUGAGCUGACAUUUUAGCAGCUGCCUAGGACUUAAGCUGUUUAAAUUUAGCAUUUACAUCCAGCCAAAAUAGAGGAGUUCAGUAAACAGCUUGGACUUUGCACUGACAAGCCAGGAGGGCCACACUUUAUGAGUAAAGAUUGCAUCUGAGGACCAAGGGCCAAACUGAAUAUAGCUACUGUAACAAGGGCCAAAACUAAUCCCCCAAGAAUCAAGGUAAUAUGCCAGUAAUUUAACUGCUGCCAUAACAGAAUAUAAUACUCUUUACAGGAAGAUCACUCAACCCAGAGUUUCUGCAACAUAUUAUUUACAAUGCCCAAAACACAAUAAGAAAAUUAUUACACAUGCAAAGAAGUGAAAAAUGUGACCUGUAAUUGAGGUCAGUAGAAGCAGACCCACAAGUGACUCAUGUUAGAAUUAGCUGAAAAGGACCUUAAGACUGGUGUAAUAAAUAUGAUAGAGAACCUAUAGGAAAAUAUGAGCAAAUGGGUGAACAGAUAGGGAAUUUCAAUUAGAAAUGGGAAAAUUUUUUUAAAGAAUCAGAAAUUCUAGAUGCAUAACCUAAAUGUAAUCAUGAGAAAAUACCAACAUAUCCUUCAGUAAUGAAGGGAUAAUCAAGACAUUCUCAGAUGAGGAGAGACUAAAAGAAUUUGUUACCAGAGAUUGACCCUAAAACACUGGAUAAAGUUCUUCAACAAAAAGGAAAUGAUAAAAGAAGCAAACUUGAAACAUAAGAAAUGAA